UGAAGAGACCAUCUUGUGAUGCGAGGAA
rnacentral:piRNA from 1 species